ACAAGGGAAAAAAAAGGAAUAUAAGAAAGCAACUGUGAAUCUGAGGCUUCAUUUUGAGUUUUCCCCCAAAACAAAAAGGGGAAAACUAAAAGCCUGAUAGGUUACCUUUUUCUAACAAGGAACAACUGUCUCUACUUCGGGUUGCAUGCUUUCUCAAGUUUGAGUUUAGACAGACCACUCUUUUGUGAAUCUUUGCAUAAAGGGUCAUUGAAUAAUGGUCAGAGGCAUUGUCUUUGAAUGUUUUACAGAUAUGCUGAGGUUUGUACUUAGAACUUCUCAUUUUACAUUCAGCCUUUCAGUGAAAGGCGAACGUGAAGCUGACAUUUUAUAAUGGCAAAACUUAGGGGGCCAGAGCUAUAAGACAUGUUCAGAAGACAGGGAUAUGUGUCUUUUUUUCUCUUGUAUUGCUCAUGGUACCUAGCACAAAGUUGGAGAUGUGAUAGACUCUUUAAUACAGGUAUUCUUAUAUGGUUUACCAUGGCAAAAUCAACUUUCAAUUUUGUUUGGUUUUCAGAGUACUUUUCAUGAUAAAAAGGUUCAUUUGUUUUACUCUCAGAGCAUGCUCUGAGCUGAGAAUUAUAAACUAAAGGAGAAAAUAAUGAUGAGCAAAUAAUUGCCCAGGCUCCUAUGGAGAGUUCUCAGUAGAGCUGGAUUUGGUAACUUGAUGAGUUGUCACUGGCAAAUUUAGCAUUCACAUGUCAGACCUAGAAUAAUGCUAGAUGCUUAUCCCUCUCGUAUGGGAGCAGCCAGGAAGUCAGAAGAGGACCACAGACAGAGCGUUUGUUGGUGACAAGGGCUUUCAUAUCUUCAGAACUUGGCAAUAAGUAUUUUUAAAUAAUGGGAAGAAUGAAUUAUUUGAUUUCUGUGAAUUUAAAUUGCAAAAAUGAAAUAUGUGGGAGAAAACAGGUGCCUCCAUCUUUAACUGGAAUUGACAAAGCAGCAUUCACAAAGUGGCAACAAUUUCCUUUGACAUUUAUGAUUGCCCUAAUGCUGUUAAUCAGUGUGAGAUUAUUAUUUUUCCUUUCACAAAUGGAGAAACUGAGGUUCUGAGGGGUGAAGUGAGCUUACCCCAUUCCACAAAACUUGUAACUGCUGAUUCCCAGUUCUUUGUUCAUUUUAUUAGGCCAUGGAUGUUUCCUUAAAUAUAUUUCUCUGGGAAUAAAAUUCUCUUACAGAUCUUCUAGAAAUGGGGAUCUUGGCUUUCUGAAAUGAAAUUAUGUAUGGGCCAGAAGCCAGGAGAUGGAACGUGUGCUUUCUUACGUGUUUUCCUUCCAGCUUCCUUAGUCACGAUUCUUCAUUAUAACUUUGGUAUCUCUGAUAUUGAGUUAACUUUGACGAUGGUAUGGAUGAUGGUGGAUGGGUGGUACAUACAACUUUGAAGCACAUGAUGACUCUCUGGCCACCUACUUUAUUCUCGUAUUUCCCAAGAGGAGGUAAAUACUUCAUUUUAGAGAAACUGGACUCUAACCUAAAGUGGCCGAGAAGUCUAACCUGCAUUGUAAUCUUCAUCAAAUGAAAACACUUUGUUCUUAAAAGUACACUUGUUCCUUCUUCUUGCCCUUGACAAUUUUCUGUUUGAAGCAGCAAGGAACAGAGGAAAGAUAACAUAGUUUAUUCUAUGGAUUUCUACCAGUUCAAUUUUUAAAGUGUUAGCCUCUUAAAAUAAAUGUUUUCAUAAAAGAUCAUGAAGAAACUCGGAUUUUUGUCACUCCAUCAAUAUGUAGGAGGAGGGUAUGUCUGGGUAAGAGCCAAACAAUUAAGGUGUUACUGACCAGAAGUCUCUUGGUUUGCUGUCAUAAAAUGUCACAACUAUCAGCAACCACAAAAUCUUCAAUAAAUGGCACUGCAGACAGAAAUUUUUCUUAACAGUCUGGGUUUGUGAAUUCUCUUUUUUCCUUUCUGGUUUCCCUCUGUAGAUGUCUCUUUCUUCCUUUGUGCUUGGUCUCUCUGUUUCUCUUACUAACAACACACAUAUUUCUCCAUCUCUGUAUCAUCAUCUUCUAUUAGUUUUUCACAAGUGUAUUUCUGUGACUAAAAGGAUCAACAGAUGCUGACUUCAAUAUUGUGAAGCAUCCAGAAAAAGAACAAUUAAUUUAUAACAAACCUGCUUUGCUCUAACACUGACAGCUUUUGAAAAUGUAUACUGUAUGUGAGAUCCACAUCUCAUUUUGUUUUCAUUUAGAUGGUCAACAGCAUUUAACUCGAAGUUAGGUUUAAAUUCCCCCCAUGAGACUUGUCAGUUUUUGUCAGAAAUAAAACCAAUGAAUAUUUCCAUUUUAAAUAUUUAAAAGACCUUUUAAAUAAUGUGUUGAUAUUUUUGCUUGCAUUUUUGUUAUUAUCUUAACACUCUCUAUUGCUAUCUGCUUCAAUAUAGGAAAAAUGCAGUUACAAAUGUUUCCUGGUUAUAGUUAUUAAGAAUUAUCCCUAAUCUUAGGCUAGAUAUAUACAGAAGAUAAUCGUGUUCUAGAGUGUUCCUGCUGAAUAAAGUUGCCACUUAAUAAGAAACAGAUAUCAUGACUAGGUUGCCCUUGGAACUAACUGUCCAAGCGUGAACAAAUAUAUAUACUACAUCACACAUACACUCACAGUGCACAACACACUUAUACACUUCUCACAUACUCGCCUUUCUUUUACAACUUUCUGGCUCAGCAUGCCCAUGUCAUGAGCUAAUUCUGACCUAACAGAGAGGCUGUGCAGUCUUUCAGCUAGUGGAGGCUGAGAAAAUUGUGCAGCAAUAGGUCCAGUCCCUGGAAGAUGAAGUUAGUUAGCAUUUGGUGCCCAGCCAGCAGCAAUGUGACUUAGGCUUUUCGUCCUAGUAGGUAUGGAGUUCUGCUCUGAGCAACAAUUCAUUUAUUUUGUGCCAAUAUUCUGACUAGCUCAUUCUAGAAUCUUCUAUUUUGGUCAGAAUCUGUCCUAUAUUCUUGGCUGUGGUUCAAUUCUUUCAAUCAAAGAUCUGCCUAAUCCUGUUUUCCCAUAGCUAAUGUUGACAGGGUUCACCACGCCAUCUUCAUCUCCGCCCCCACUUCUCAUCUUCAGCCCAAACCAAUCUUCAUCUCUAUCUUCAUCUUUACUUCCAUCCACACAGCAAUCUUCAACUCCAUCUACCAAUACCAGUCUUAAGCUCCUGUGCCCCACCAUCCUCAGUCAUAGCAGUGCUCGAUGUGAUAACCUAAUCAAAAAUUUCAAACCAAACUGCCCAGCAUUCAUGGUUGUAAAGGACAUGUAGAAUCAGUCAACUGAUAGAUACAAAGUAACACUGAAACUGAUUGAGCAAUAAUCAGAAAGUUGGCGCUGCAAUAGCUUCCUCAGUUGUACCUCUCUGUCCACCGCCCAGCUCUUUCCUGUUGCUUCCAGUUCCUCUCACUUGUACUUCUUUAUUAACUAUUUGUUAACAUAACUUUCUAUGGUUUUCUUUCACCUAAGACCCAAACCUCUUCUCCUGGCUUGCAUUUCCACGACUCCCUGCCCAAGCCUGAGGUUGCACAAGAAACAUAUCUCUAAUUAAUGUCCCCUGUUCCAGGAAUUUGACUCAUUGGGCCUGCAAAAGAUUUUCGUGACAAAUGAAAUAUUUUUCUAAACCAAGGACUUGGGGAUAACUUCAGGGUCAAAGACAUCUUAUCAUAUUUAAGAACAGCCACAGGAUGUCUAGGAGCCAGCAGAGGGGCCAGAUAUGCUGCAGUUUAUGCUGUAAAAGGAAGCCUGCCGCCGUGAGUGGUCCAGUGGGAGCUCUUGCUUUGUGUCCUCAGCCUUUCACCUUUCCAUCUGAUGACUUGCUCUGAAUCUUCACUUCCUGGGCAGGUGAGCUGAGUCCUAGAAAGCACAGCUCACAGGAACUCUGCUUCAGAGUUGACAGAGAUUUAAUUUUCAGGACUAAAUUUCUCUGAGAGAAGGUUAGCAACACUCUGGCUUUGUCUUAAUAAGCUGUAGUUUGUGAUGCAAUUGCUGGAUAAGACAUGAACCAUAUUAGAACAGAAUGGCAAUAAAAAUCACCACAAAAUGAGAAGGAGAGUAACAAUUACAUUUUAUUAUGUGUGAAGUGCUCGGCACUUGUGUAUUUUACAUAUAUUUAAUCUUUAUAAUAACUAACAUAAUAAGUAUUUUGACUUCUUAUAGAUGAGGAAACAUGAUGUUCAGAAAGGUAUAUGACUUGAUCAAGAACCCACAACCAGGCAAUGAGAGGAAUAUGAGGCAAAAUCCAAUCUACUUGAUUCCACAGAGCUCUGAGUAUAGAUGAGGCAAACUUCACAUGGAAAAGAAGCCAUAUUUUGAAAAAACUACACGGAAUCAAAGAGAACUAACUCAAAGAAGCAAAAUUUUGGAGAUAAAACAAGGUAUCUGAUAGCAGUAGUGAUCUCAGGGUGGAUGACCCCCUACUGUUGCUCCUUCUUUUAAAUAAAACUCUUACUUGCAGGAGACAUACUGAAUGUAUUUGACCUUGGUGGCAGCUGGAAUUCAAAAAUCCUGGGUUGUGUUAGUUGACUAAGACAACAUUGUAGUACUGGUAGAGAAUUCUAAAAUCAGAAGAGCUUCAAUCUCUUCUAAUCUAAUUGACUAUGGAGAUUCAGGCAAGUUAUUCUGCCUCUGAGCCAGAUUUAAUUUCCUUAUCUAUAAUGUAAGGAGAAAAUCAAUAACUUUAAUAUUCUCUGAUUCAAAAUGUAAGCAAACAGAGGAAGGUGAUUGGCAACUUAGUUAAUUGGCAGGGUUAUUGGUAAAGAGUGAACACUGGGCAUUAUCCUUAAAGGUUAUGACAUUUGGAUAACCAUCUUGCAUCUUGGUCCAGUAGGCCAGCUACAGUAAUUGCUGUGGGUUAUGCUGAGUCUAGGACUGGAUUCCAAUUAAGCUGUGAUUUUUCACCAGUGCUAACUGUGGAAGGGCAGAUCCAUACAGAGCAUUCCUCAGCUAGGUAGUUUGAAUUAUUCCUAGACAGAUGCCUCCCAUUGAAGAGCACCUGGCAUUUUUACUAAGAGGAGAUCUAGCCAUUCUAGCAACUCUGAUUCACUCUCCUUUUGUUCAUCAUCUAUAUUUCUCCAUGGCUAUCCUUCCAAAGAGAAGCUAUUGCUAUAGUACACCUAACCAGAACAACUUUACCUCAAGGACACAGCUUUAUUAUCUGCUGAGGACCCUGAUCUAAUACUGUCAGGGUAGAGCCUGGUGUUCUGGGGAAAAUUUCAGGUUAUUAAAGCCAGUCCUAAUGGUUGGCUUAGAUAUGGCCUCUGUCUUGAUUUCCCUGCAUAGAACUUCUAUCUUUUAUUAAUUUGGUGCCAGUUGUAUAUUUUAAAGGGAGAGCUGUGGGUCUUGAUUUAAACCUGUAUAUACAUACAAGUACCUUGUUUUGUUAAACUACAUUGUCUUGCUCUUGUCAGUUUUAUCCUUAGAGGUCUGGACGUGCCCCAUCUCUGUACUUGAUUCUGCUGAGAAUACAGAGGUUGACAGUACCAUCAUGGCACACUACUCUGUGUGCACUGACCUAGGGCCUGGCACGCCUCAUAUAGAUACCUCCUAUCCCCUUUGUGCCUGCAUUUGUCUCAACCACAGGCCACAGUAGCUAACAUUCUCAGCUUUUGACCCACUAAUUUUUGGCUUUUGCCCAUCCCCAUUGACUCCCAUGUAGACCCUAUGUUCACCAGAAGGAUCCUCAUGUCUGCAGACUACAUUAAGAGGGAGGAUAUGCCUCUGUGAAUCCAACUGAUAGGUAUCUCCUGUGUGCCAGGGAAUGGCAGGGCCAUGGCUCUCUCAAAGCCAUGCUCAUAAAAAGCCUCCUCUGCAUCGACUUCCAGUCCCAUUUGAUUCUCAAGCAAGGAGUUCCAUCCGAGAAGGAAGCUGUCACCUGUCACUCUUUUAUGAAUUCUUAAGGACAGUGGAAGAGUUGAAAGGUUGGCAAUCACAAUGACAAUAGGCUAUUACAAGCAGGUGAAGAGCCUUCUUCUUUUGCUCCUUACCCCCAACUGCUGUUCAAAUAAUCAAAAAAGGGUCCUCAUUGAAACUGAUUUAAUUCUCAAGAGGAAUGAAAGACAUUUAAAGGGCAAGCCAACUUCAUAAAUGACAUUAAAAGGUUUUAAAAUAGUGUUUUGCUUCUAAAGGGUGUUUGUAAAUGUCAGAGGUAACAUAUUGAUUACAGUCCUGGCAGUUCUUGCUCAGGGCUUCUUAGCUGUCUUUGGCUUAACUCAUGCUGUUGACUUAUGCUCAUGGUAUGAAAUAUCUCAGCCAUCUUACUUUGUUUGCUUAAACUUUUCCAACCUACCAGACUUUAUCCACAUGUGAAUAAAAGGUACCAUCAAAUUAGUGGUGUUUAUAAUUUUUGUGCUUUUUAAUGUCUCGUGAAUUAUAUAAAGUUACGAAAAUGGCUAUAGGAAUUGGCCUACAAACUCUUGAGAUGUCCUAUAAGUUCCUACAAGAUAUUGAAAGUUGGUUGCUUUGAGGAUAUAAUUCUGAAUGUUGAAGCAAAUUAAAAAGCCAACUUGGAAGGGGAUACAUAAUCCUCUUUAAGUCAAGAUGAGGGGUAUAACCUCCCCCAUAUAUUCUGGGCCCAGUCGUCUGUGUUGAAAAGAACUCUGAUAGUUUAUUUGCUGAUACUAUUAAUGGGAGCCAAAAACAUUGUGGAGAAAGGUGAUAUUGUCAUCGUGAAUCUCUCUGAACUCCUGUUCCCAAUUUGUAGCCAGUAAGAGAGCAUGAUUGCUCUGACUACAGGAUUAUACUAAGUCUCUAAGGAAAUGAGAAUAGUGCACAUGUGUACUCUGAUUUAUAGUUUGCAAAGGCCAUUCAAUAAUUGGUAAAGCCGAAACCAAUGAAUUUCCUUCUGAUUUUCAGCACCAUUCAGAAUCUGGACAUAUAAUAUGUUUAUGGCAUUUAACCUAGUCAGACAGUAGAUAUUGCUCUAAGUCAUGGCCUACACCUGUGAGCCUACUUAUAUCAGCAUUUGCCAAAUGUACUUGUAGCUGUGGUACUGACCUCAGAGAACUUAGCCAAAGAGCAAAGACUGCCUAAUUCAAGAAGUACUGGCUGUACAGGAAGCAUAAUGCCAGCAUCUGUUUCUGGUGAGGCCUCAGGAAGCUUUUACUUAUGGUGGAAGGUGAAGGAGGAACAGGUGUCUCACAGGGCAAGAGGAGCAAGAGGGAGCAGGUGGGGAUUGGUGCCACACACUUGUAAACAUCCACAUUUUGUGAGAACUCACUAUCUCAAAAACAGCACCAAGCCAUGAGGAAUCCCUUCCUAUGACCCAAACACCUCCC
rnacentral:lncRNA from 1 species